rnacentral:rRNA from 1 species
UACGUAGGGUGCAGGCGUUAAUCGGAAUUACUGGGCGUAAAGCGUGCGCAGGCGGUUUGCUAAGACAGGUGUGAAAUCCCCGGGCUUAACCUGGGAACUGCGCUUGUUACUGGCAAGCUGGAGUGUGGCAGAGGGGGGUGGAAUUCCACGUGUAGCAGUGAAAUGCGUAGAGAUGUGGAGGGACACCGAUGGCGAAGGCAGCCCCCUGGGCUAACACUGACGCUCAUGCACGAAAGCGUGGGGAGCAAACAGG